GGCCUGAGAAGCCGUCUCUCUAGGGCAGCCUCCUCUGGGAGCCCCUCGCGGGGCCGGCGCUAAGGUGCAGGGGCUCGUCGCGGCCGGACUCACCUCGUCACCUCGGCGUAGUCCCCUCGGCUCAUGCCCCCAAAGCAAGCCCCGACUCCGCGGUCAGAUGGCCCUCCAGACGCGUCCACCUCUGCGCCGCCAGCUGCCAGGCCGCCCGUGACGCACUACGCCUGCGCCGCCGGCCCGCCCCGUGACGUCACGACGCCCGCGCCGCCGCCGUCGCCGCCGUUGUGCGAGUCUUCCUAGUAGACUGGGCGCUAGCUGUGGGUGUUCACAAGAAUUGUCUUCAGUCAUGGCCUUGGGUUUAAGGUGCUUCCGCUUGGUCCACCCUGCCUUUUGCAACUCCCUUGCAGCCUUGACCAGACCUGUUUCAGAAGUUACGCUGAAGACAGUGAGUGGAAGACAGAAUGACCACGGGCAAUACCUGGCCUAUUCAGCUGUACCAAUCCGUCAUUUCGCUACCAAGAAAGCCAAAGCCAAAGGGAAAGGACAGUCCCAAGCCAGAAUGAAUCUUAACACUACCUUGGUUGAGGAUAUAAUCAGCUUGGAAGAGGUGGAUGAAGAAAUGAAGUCGGUGAUAGAAGCGCUCAAGGAUAAUUUCAAUAAGACUGUCAAUAUAAGGACCUCACCAGGAUCCCUUGAUCAUAUCACUGUGGUAACUGCUGAUGGGAAACUUGCUCUAAACCAGAUUGGCCAGAUCUCCAUGAAGUCACCACAGCUGAUUUUGGUGAAUAUGGCCAGCUUCCCAGAGUGUACAGCUGCAGCUAUCAAGGCUAUAAGAGAAAGUGGAAUGAAUCUGAACCCAGAAGUGGAAGGGACGCUAAUUCGGGUACCCAUUCCCAAAGUAACCAGGGAGCACCGGGAAAUGCUGGUGAAACUGGCUAAACAGAACACCAACAAGGCCAAAGACUCUUUACGGAAGGUUCGUACCAACGCAAUGAAUAAGCUGAAGAAAUCGAAGGACAAGGCCUCGGAGGACACCAUUAGGCUCAUAGAGAAACAGGAGCCAGCGUGAUGAUGAUGAUGAUCAUGACCAUGACAGUGAUGAUGAUGUUGAUGAUGACGUGAUCAUCUUCAUGAGGCAGCAUGUUGUCAUGGAAAGGGCUCUUGCUCUGGAGGCAGACUGGGCUGGAUUCGAAUUCUAGCUCUUUCACUUCUCAGCUGUUAAGAUCAGCCAAAUGGCCGACUACACCGUUGCAGAGCUGGACAGACAUCUGGCAGUGAAAACCAAAGAACUCCUUGGAUGAAAAUCCCCCAGGGGCCAGCAGUGCUCCCAAGCCCAGUUUCUAGUGGAUCCCAUGGUGGCAAAUUGGCACCUCUCCACCCCAUCCACACGGAAGGCUGUCACCGUGCACUUGUCAGUCCUUGGAAGGCCCAGCCUUCCAGUGGGACACUGUUGAUUCUCUUCCUCCUGUCCCCUGUCCACCCCAUCUGCUCUGGACCUCCUGGCCUGGGUGGCCCUCGGAGAGUCUCUGUUGCUGACAGAGGGCCUUUACUUGGGCCAUUUGCCUUGACUGUGACGUCACCGAGCUGUCAGGACCAUUGGCAGGCGUAGCACUGCCUGCUCCUCAUCUUGGGAGCCUCCUUUUCAAACAAUUAGUCAGGCCCUGUCCCCACCUUUGAACUCUGCUUGGGCCAAUGUGGGCCUUCACCUGUGCCUGGAUACCUUUGCUAGAGGCCCAUUUUCACCACAUAAUAAAAUCUAAAUAAAUUGAUUGGAAAGAAUAACAACCGCAAA